AUCAGCAGGGAGCCCCAGCCCAGGAGCACGGCAGAGAAGAAGACGUUCUCCAGCACCGCCGUGCAGGCCAUCCACCAGCGCCUGCGCCCCUAUGAGACCACUCGUCUCCUCUGAGGCUGAUGGACAGCAAGCCCUCCCCAUUUCUGCACCAGGCGACCCAGGUCUCUACAGUCUCUCGGUCCAACAGCUGCCACGUGGAAGGAGACCUAGGGCGGGCCCUCCAGCGUCCACGGCGCCCCGAGCGCAGAACCUUCGUGGCGGGUCCACACUCUCGGCGUCCGGUGUCCUGGGGGCCCAGCAACGAACGGCACCGGCGUUCUGGACUCCUCCGCACGCUGGC